GACGAACGCUGGCGGCGUGCUUAACACAUGCAAGUCGAACGGAAAGGCCCUGCUUUUGUGGGGUGCUCGAGUGGCGAACGGGUGAGUAACACGUGAGUAACCUGCCCUUGACUUUGGGAUAACUUCAUGAAACUGGGGCUAAUACCGGAUAGGAGCUCCUGCUGCAUGGUGGGGGUUGGAAAGUUUCGGCGGUUGGGGAUGGACUAGCGGCUUAUCAGCUUGUUGGUGGGGUAGUGGCUUACCAAGGCUUUGACGGGUAGCCGGCCUGAGAGGGUGACCGGCCAAACUGGGACUGAGAUACGGCACAGACCACUACGGGACGCAGGAGUGGGGAAGAGUGCACAAUGGGAGGAAGCCUGAUGCAGCAACGCCGCGCGCGGGAUGACGGCAUUCGGGUUGUAAACCGCUUCCGCCUGUGACGAAGCGUGAGUGACGGUAAUGGGUAAAGAAGCACCGGCUAACUACGUG
rnacentral:rRNA from 1 species